ACAGUCAAAAAAGUCUCAUACGUACACAACUCAAUGUAUGAUACUUUUGUUUAAUCAAGCUGUCAUACACAAGUAUUUAAAAAGACAAAGAUAUUAAAAUGAAAACUGUACAUGUUGCCGUUUUGAUGCGUUUAUGUAUAUUAGACCGCCUGAUAUGUUUUUCAAGGCCUAAAUAUGAGGUAAUAUUAGUCAUUCAGAUGUAUGAGAAGGCUAGAAAACUUACAUCUCACAACUAGAGCCAGUACAACAUGCUGUCACCGGUGAAACGCCACACCAGAGCACAAAAGACAAAACAGGAAGUGCCAGUUUCUUGUCAAAAACAGCCUUCGUAACAAACAUAACAGACAGAUAGAUCCAAUCACUCCUCUUUAGUGUAAAGUGAGCAGCUCAAGUGUAUAGAUACAUUUGAAAUACACUGACACAGCUGUGAAUGACAGAGUCCGUUUGAGUCUCAACAGACUGUAGAGGUAUUUCUUUUGGUCGACAAUACAUAAUGUGACUAUUACCACCAAAGACGCAGUGUCUUAUGCAUGUAGAUGAACACCACUUCCAUGAAGAAUGUUAACUGGUUUCUAUCUGGGGGAGAAGAAAUAAGCCAUGACUACUUCAUCUGUCAUUUAUCUCAAAUGUGCGUUAUAGAAAUAUGAAUCAUUCUUGAAGAUAUAAGUUUGUAUCUUAACGCAACGUACAAAUACAGUCCACAAGUAUUCUGUCAAAUGGAAA